AACUCUGCGCCGUCUACAACUACUUCAGGUAGCCAGUGCAGUGACCCGCCCCUCUUCUGCUACUCCGCCUCCAAUGUUGCUCUCUCCGAUAACCUCGCAUCCCUCUCGCCGUCUUGCUUCACCAUUAGGACUAUGCCCUGCUACCCUCCUCCCCAUCACGCUGGUAAAUCAUUUCAGUUUCACAAAGAAGCCUGCCAGCCUGGAACAGCCCGACGAAUCACCCUGGUGUCAAUAUGCUUUCUCCGUUGUGUACACCAUAUCAUCUGCGAAAAGUAGUUAAUUUGGUACACAAAUCUCAAACUUUGCAUCCCGAUCAAUGGUGGUAAUUAUUUCAAACUUCCAUGCUUUCAUGGAAGAAUAGUUCUGUUCCCAAAGUACCAUGUUUGUGCUACUUUGUUAUUUAGCAUCUAAACUACAUUACAGUUUGAACUCUAUGCAUUUUGCUUCCAUAGGUUAUUUUUCUUUUGUAUCCAUUUGUACGCUAGUGACACAAUCAUCCAUACCCUUAUUACCCACAAUAUUAGUUGGCUUCAUUUUUAAUUGUUGUAUGCUUCCAUUCGAGCUGCUGUAACAGAUGUUCUAUUUAGAGCCAUGCAUCGUGCAACUUCCACUAGUAGAAAACAGGGCUUUGGUCUUAGCCAGAUCAGAGCAUUAGUCCCGAUCGAGUUACAAACCGGGACUAACGGGUGCAUUAGUCCCGGUUCGAGCGGCCAGGGCGUCGGCUGAGCCUCGGCAGGCACCAGUCUCGGUUCGUCUGACCUCUUUAGUCAUGGUUCCAGACACGAACCAGGACUAAAGGGCCUCGCUCCUGGCGCAGCCUUUUUAGUCCCGGUUGGUGGCUGGAACCGGGAACAAAGGUCAGUCUUCUGUCCCGGUUCUAGCCACCAAACGGGGGUAAAGAGAUGCCUAUAUAUAUGCUCGGCCCUGCCUGCUCACUCCUCUGUUUUUUGGCUGUUCGGCGUGUGGGAGGUGUGUGCUGCUCUACUCUCACCUCCUGUUCACAUGAGGUGUUCGAUCAAAUGCCUGAGCCACACUUAAGAUUUCUCCUCUUCAAACUUGACCUUCAAGCUACAUUUUCCCCAAGAUUUGUCUAGGUUUGGCGGUGCACCAACUACAAAAGUGUUCUAAAAGGGUGUCGUCCCGUCCCCGUCCCUGUCCUCACCGCCAUCGAUCGCCUGCACCGAUCUCGUCGCCGGCACCACCAUGUGCCAUGGUUUUGGUAUCCGCCCCGGUCAGCUCUCAUCCGCUCUAU